CCCUCUCUCUCUCUCUCCAGGCAGAGCCCGUGGGCUGGCAGCUCAGUUCGUCUGACCCAGCGGUGGCAUCACCAGGUCUUCCAUUGAAAGCCAAGGGCUUGCAGGGAGAGCGAGGGGAAUUCCCGCCUGCAAAUGCAAAGGUGGAUGCCAGGCAGGACGAGUGUAGCCUCAGGGUCAAGCUACAGAGCUGUUACAGGACUCGUUUCCCCGCAGCAGGACAGCAGAGCAAAGAGCUUGAGGGGAGAGUUUCUAGCACAGCUGAAGUGAGAAGCCUUUUUGUGUCUUGCCUACAGCUUUAUCUACUUUGGCAAAUAAGUAGAGAAAAAAAAAACGGAAAAAAACCCACUUUAGUUGAACAGUUACAUAACUCUUCUGAGUUGACCUAAAGACUAAAUUAAGAAUUCUAGGAAUACAAGACAAUUCCCAGUCAGGAUUAUAUACUCUUGGAUAUUGUGCAUUUGAGGACUACAGGCGCAGGGGCCAUCAGAAAUCUCACCCUAAGUCUUCCAUUCCUUGCUAGCAGGGAACAUGGGAUAUACUUCUGGUUCUCUCCAACCUGUUGCUUCUAUUGUUAGGAUAUUAUUUAAGGCAAGUUUUGUCAUUAUAUUAAGUAUCAGAUUUGUUGUGUAUCUUAUAUGCUUGAUUAUAAUUAUAAUUCAUUAAUUGAUUACAGAAUUUUUAAAUAGUUUGUCUACUGAGAUUCUGUGGCUACAAGCAUAAGGUAGGGUCUUACUCAGCAUUAGUUUAGAAGACAAGCCUUUAAGCAAGCUACUUCAAUGUUUUGGCUUUACAGUACUUUUGUCUUUCUCCCUAGCUCUCAAUUCCUUCAUCACAAUAACUCCAGUCUUCCUCUCAAACUAUUCAGAAGACUAUUGUUAAUAUUUACACUAAACUUUGUUUUUACUUUCUUCUUUUAGCCAGCCCCAUAAUUUCCCCUUCUCUCAUUAGCAAUUAAAAAAAGUUUAAAAAAUAAAUAUGGCUGUUGUGUUUUUUGUUUGGGUGGG
rnacentral:lncRNA from 1 species